rnacentral:rRNA from 1 species
CCUACGGGAGGCAGCAGUGGGGGAUAUUGCACAAUGGGGGGAACCCUGAUGCAGCGACGCCGCGUGGGUGAAGGAGUGCUUCGGCAUGUAAAGCCCUAUCGGCAGGGAAGAAGCAAGACGGUACCUGACUAAGAAGCCCCGGCUAACUACGUGCCAGCAGCCGCGGUAAUACGUAGGGGGCGAGCGUUAUCCGGAUGCACUGGGUGUAAAGGGAGCGUAGACGGCCAUGCAAGCCAGGGGUGAAAGCCCGGGGCCCAACCCCGGGACUGCCCUUGGAACUGUGCGGCUAGAGUGCGGGAGGGGCAGGCGGAAUUCCUGGUGUAGCGGUGAAAUGCGUAGAUAUCAGGAGGAACACCGGCGGCGAAGGCGGCCUGCUGGACUGCGACUGACGUUGAGGCUCGAAAGCGUGGGGAGCGAACAGGAUUAGAUACCCGGGUAGUC